rnacentral:rRNA from 1 species
GAAGCGGCAACAGCUCAAAUUUGAAAUCUGGCGCAAGCCCGAGUUGUAAUUUGUAGAGGAUGCUUCUGGGCAGCGGCCGUUCUAAGUUCCUUGGAACAGGACGUCAUAGAGGGUGAGAAUCCCGUAUGUGACCGGCGCGCACCCUCCACGUAGCUCCUUCGAAGAGUCGAGUUGUUUGGGAAUGCAGCUCUAAAUGGGAGGUAAAUUUCUUCUAAAGCUAAAUACCGGCCAGAGACCGAUAGCGCACAAGUAGAGUGAUCGAAAGAUGAAAAGCACUUUGGAAAGAGAGUUAAAAAGCACGUGAAAUUGUUGAAAGGGAAGCGCUUGCAACCAGACUUCGCGGCGGUGUUCCGCCGGCCUUCUGGCCGGUCCACUCGCCGCCGCGAGGCCAGCAUCGUCUGGGGCCGCCGGAUAAGACCGCGGGAAUGUGGCUCCCUCGGGAGUGUUAUAGCCCGCGGUGAUGCGGCGCGUCUCGGGCGAGGUCCGCGCUUCGGCAAGGAUGUUGGCGUAAUGGUUGCCAGCGGCCCGUCUUGAAACACGGACCAAGGAGUCUAACAUCUAUGCGAGUGUUCGGGUGUCAAACCCCUACGCGUAAUGAAAGUGAACGGAGGUGGGAGCUUCGGCGCACCAUCGACCGAUCCUGAUGUCCUCGGAUGGAUUUGAGUAAGAGCAUAGCUGUUGGGACCCGAAAGAUGGUGAACUAUGCCUGAAUAGGGUGAAGCCAGAGGAAACUCUGGUGGA